rnacentral:rRNA from 1 species
GAGCUUUUCAGUAGUUUACUACAGAAAAUGACUGAGCGGCGAACGGGUGAGUAACGCGUGAGCAAUCUACCUUAGUUACAGGGAUAGCCCGAGGAAACUCGGAUUAAUACCUGAUAUUCUUUACAUUUCGCAUGAAAUCAAAAGGAAAGGUCAGCCGAACUAAGAUGAGCUCGCGUUCUAUCAGCUAGUUGGUGAGGUAAAAGCUCACCAAGGCAACGACGGAUAGCUGGUCUGAGAGGACGAUCAGCCACACUGGGACUGAGACACGGCCCAGACUCCUACGGGAGGCUGCAGCAGGGAAUAUUGCGCAAUGAGCGAAAGCUUGACGCAGCGACACCGCGUGUGGGAUGACGGAUCUAGGUUUGUAAACCACUUUCAGGAGGGAAGGAAAUGACGGUACCUCCACAAGAAGCCCCGGCCAACUACGUGCCAGCAGCCGCGGUAAUACGUAGGGGGCGAGCGUUGUCCGGAUUUAUUGGGCGUAAGGAGCUCGUAGGCGGUUCAACAAGUCGGUCGUAAAAGUUCAGGGCUCAACCCUGAAAUGUCGAUCGAUACUGUUGUGACUAGGAUACGGUAGAGGUGAGUGGAAUUCCGAGUGUAGCGGUGAAAUGCGUAGAUAUUCGGAGGAACACCAAUUGCGAAGGCAGCUCACUGGGCCGCUAUCGACGCUGAGGAGCGAAAGCUAGGGGA